rnacentral:rRNA from 1 species
CCUACGGGAGGCAGCAGUGAGGAAUAUUGGUCAAUGGGCGAGAGCCUGAACCAGCCAAGUCGCGUGAGGGAGUACUGCCCUAUGGGUUGUAAACCUCUUUUGUCGGGGAGCAAAAGCCGGACGUGUCCGGCUGUGAUAGUACCCGAAGAAAAAGCAUCGGCUAACUCCGUGCCAGCAGCCGCGGUAAUACGGGGGAUGCGAGCGUUAUCCGGAUUUUUUGGGUUUUAAGGGUGCGCAGGCGGAUUUUUAAGUCAGCGGUCAAAUGGUGGGGUUCACCCCCAUCCAGCAGUUGAAACUGGGGAUCUAGAGUGUGCUAGAGGUAUGCGGAAUGCGUGGUGUAGCGGUGAAAUGCAUAGAUAUCACGAAGAACCCCGAUUGCGAAGGCAGCAUACCGGUGUACAACUGACGCUCAGGCACGAAAGCGUGGGUAUCGAACAGGAUUAGAUACCCUUGUAGUC